GACGAACGCUGGCGGCGUGCCUAAUACAUGCAAGUCGAGCGGAGUUUCAAGAAGCUUGCUUUUUUGAAACUUAGCGGCGGACGGGUGAGUAACACGUGGGCAACCUGCCCCUUAGACUGGGAUAACUCCGGGAAACCGGAGCUAAUACCGGAUAAUCCCUUUCUCCACCUGGAGAGAGGGUGAAAGAUGGCUUCGGCUAUCACGUAGGGGGAUCGGGCCCGCGGCGCAUUAGCUAGGUUGGUAAGGUACGGCUUACCAAGGCGACGAUGCGUAGCCGACCUGAGAGAGUGAUCGGCCACACUGGGACUGAGACACGGCCCAGACUCCUACGGGAGGCAGCAGUAGGAUCUUCCGCAAUGGACGAAAGUCUGACGGAGCAACGCCGCGUGAGUGAGG
rnacentral:rRNA from 1 species